GUUCAGACUAAAGGAGCUGGGCCUGCUCUGAGGAAGUCUCAUUGUUCAGACUAAAGGAGCUGGGCCUGCUCUGAGGAGGUCUCAUUGUUCAGACUAAAGGAGCUGGGCGAGGUGAGCCUGCUCUGAGGAGGUCUCAUUGUUCAGACUAAAGGAGCUGGGCGAGGUGAGCCUGCUCUGAGGAAGUCUCAUUGUUCAGACUAAAGGAGCUGGGCGAGGUGAGCCUGCUCUGAGGAGGUCUCAUUG